CAUCACUACAAGACAGCACAUCUUCUUUGUUCUGCAGAAAUCUGCUCAAAAGGCCACAGGCUCUGAACACCUCAGAAUGGAAACAAGGCACCAAGACAAGAACGCAGUGCGACAAAACAGAGCGUAGAAGUCAUGGGACAUCUGGAUCAGAAACAUAAACAGAUAGCUCCAGUCUCUGCUUUCGUUUCACAUGUAUCCCAUCAUCUACAAUUUCUCCCUAACUCCCCUAAGAACUGAACAGAAUAUAACUUCACACAGGUAGGUGUCUUAGCUAGAGUUUCUUUUGCUAGGAAGAGAAAGCAGCAAACUCACAAACUCAGCAAAACACAGCAAACACAGCAAACACAGCAAAAGGAAAACACUCAAUUGGGGCUG